rnacentral:lncRNA from 1 species
AUAGGCCCUCCACAUCUAAGCAAAGCUUCAGGAUGAGGUAGUGGUUGUGCUGAAUUGAGUCGGGGGGUUGACAUCCCACUUUUCUCACUGUACUGCACUGCUGGUUCCUGUGGAGCUCACUCCAACUAACAGCUUCAGGUCUUUUCCACAUGACCUACUGUCAAGUCACUUUCCCAUCAUGUGCUUACAUAGUCAGUUUUUGGAACUCAAAUAUGACAUUAUAUGUAUGCCCAGCUGUUAAGGUUUUAUUAUAGUUUCUACCCAUCUUCAAGCGAGUUCACAUUAUUGAUGGUCCUUGAUUUGGCCAUCUGACAAGUUAGCUACGCCUCCCAGCUUUGAGAUUGCAGAUUAGAUAAAUAAGCCUUCAAAGUGUCUGUUAAAAACAUUGAAGGAGACAGAGCCAAGGAAGGUCACUUUGGUAAAAAAUUCAUUUUACAUGGCAACCUGCUUCACACAUUCACCCCACAAUCUUCAUGUGAUAAUAAUGGGCUCUGAUAUUUUUAGAACUUAAGUUCAGUUCUCUUCUGUGUCUUUUUGUUUGUUCGUUUGUUUGUUUUUUAGGGCUACAGGUGUGGCAUAUGGAAAUUCCCAGGCUAGGGGUUGAAUCAGAGCCACAGAUGCUGUCCUACUCCAUAGCCACGUGGGAUCCUAGCUGCAUCUACAACCUACACCAUAGCUCAUGGCAACACCAGAUCCUUAACCCACUGAAUGAGGCCAGGGAUCAAACCCGCAUCUUCAAGGUUCCUAAUUGGCUCCACUGAGCCACAAAGGGAACUCCCUCUUCUGUGUCUUUUAAAAAAAAAAGCACUACCAUAUGACCCAGCAAUCUCACUCUUAGGCAUAUAUCUGGACAAAACUUUCAAUGAAAAAGAUACAUGCGUCUGUAUGUUCACUUCAGCACUGUUCAUAAUAGCCAAGACAUGGAAACAACCUAAAUGUCCAUCAACAGAUGAAUGGAUUAAGAAGAUGUGGUAUAUAUACACAAUGGAAUACUCCUCAGCCAUAAAAAAGAACAAAAUAAUACCAUUUGCAACAACAUGGAUGGAACUAGAGACUCUCAUACUAAGUAAGAAAGAGAAAGACAAAUACAUAUGAUAUCACAUAUCUGGAAUCUAAUAUAUGGCACAAAUGAACCUUCUCACAGAAAAGAAACUCAUGGACUUAGAGAACAGACUCAUGGUUGCCGAGGGGGAGGGGGAGGGAGUGGGAUGGACUGGGAAUCUGGGGUUGAUAGGUGCAAACUGUUGCAUUUGGAAUGGAUGAGCAAUGAGAUCCUGCUGUAUAGCACUGGGAACUAUAUCCAGUCACUUGUGAUGGAACAUGAUGGAGGAUAAUGUGAGAAAAAGAAUAUAUGUAUAUAUAUGCUUGUGUGUAUAUAUAUAUUUAUAUAUAUGUAUUACUGGGUCACUUUGCUGUACAGUAGAAACUGGCAGAACACUGUAAAUCAACUAUAAUGGAAAAAAUAAAAAAAACACUAGGUGUUCCCUCGUGACUCAGCAGGUUAAGGAUUAGGCAUUGUCACUGCUGUGGUACUGGUUAUAGCUGUGGUGCAGGUUCGAUCCCUGACCUAGGAACUUCCACAUGCCACAGGCAAGGCUGGAAAAACACACACACACACACACACAAAACAAACACUGAAUUGAUUGCAUAAUGCAGAGCUAGUUCUCCAUGACAGUCUGCCUGUGAAUCACUGGGACGGGGAGACUGCCCACUGCACCUCUGGAUGCACACAGUGUGGCUGGUCCAGCGCUGUGGACACCUGCCCUGUGCAGGUGUGCACACUUGGCUGACCAGCCCAUCUUCCCACUUGGCAUGGCAGCCGUGGGCCACCAUCUUCAUCCUUCUGAGUCUCUUUCCUUAUCUGGAACAGGUUGAGGUUUGAACAAGAUUGCGUAGGCACUUUGGCAAGCCCUGAAUGAAUGACAGCCAAUGACGGUUUGAGCUCCCCACGUGCUUUCCCCACUCACCCUUCACCAGCCUCCAGAGGGUCUGGCCUGGAGGCUGUCCAUCCUAGUGGGAAGAUGGAAGCAAGGCGGUGCCAGUCAGAGUGUGCUGAGCAGAGCUUUUGUGUGUUGGGGCCAAGGAGAAGCAGAGUUAAAAUUAAGUCUUCCAGCUGUGUGCAGAAGGAAGAUGACAGCAUGGAUGAUGGUACCACAUACCUUAUAAGGCUCUUGGAAGUAUCAGAUGUGUUGCUACAUGUGAAAUACUUGAACAGCCUGGCACAGAGUAAGCACCACAGAGUUGUUCAUUGUUAUGUGUAUAAAUUUUAUUUUAACAUAAUUUCAUAUCUAUCCUUUAUACAGUCACCAGUUAUUCAUAUUUUGCUUAUUUUAUAAUUCUCUCUUCAGAUGUGUGUGUAUAAUAUACUCUAUUUUCUAUUUUGUAUGUAUAGUAUACAUAGUAUGUANAUCACUUAAGAGGAAAUUGAGGGAGUUUCUGUCAUGGCGCAACAGAAACUAAUCCAACUGGGAACCAUGAGGUUGCGGGUUCGAUCCCUGGCCUCGCUCAGUGGGUUGAGGACCCGGCGUUGCCGUGAGCUGUGGUGUAGGUGGCAGAUGUGGCCCGGAUCCCGAAUUGCUGUGGUGUAGUUGGCAGAUGUGGCCCGGAUCCCGAAUUGCUGUGUGUGGCGUAGGCCGGCAGCUUCAGCUCCAAUUUGACCCCUAGCCUGGGAACCUCCAUAUGCUGUAGGUAGGGCCCUAAAAAAGACAAAAGACAAAAAAAAAAAAAAAAAAA